GAGUUUGAUCAUGGCUCAGAACGAACGCUGGCGGCGUGCCUAACACAUGCAAGUCGAACGAGAAAGCUCCCUUCGGGGGGUGAGUAAAGUGGCAGACGGGUGAGUAACACGUGGGUAACCUGCCCGACGGUGGGGGAUAACUCCUCGAAAGAGGGGCUAAUACCGCAUGACAUCGAACGCUCCUCGGGGCGUCCGAUCAAAGCUUGCCUCUUCAUGAAAGCAGGCGCCGACGGAGGGGCCCGCGCCCCAUUAGCUUGUUGGUGAGGUAACGGCUCACCAAGGCGACGAUGGGUAGCCGGCCUGAGAGGGUGAUCGGCCACACUGGAACUGAGACACGGUCCAGACUCCUACGGGAGGCAGCAGUGAGGAAUUUUGCGCAAUGGGCGAAAGCCUGACGCAGCGACGCCGCGUGGAGGACGAAGGUCUCCGGAUCGUAAACUCCUGUCAAGAGGGACGAAUCCCGGACGGAUGAAUAAGCCGGCCGGUUGACGGUACCUCUGGAGGAAGCCCCGGCUAACUCCGUGCCAGCAGCCGCGGUAAUACGGAGGGGGCCAGCGUUGUUCGGAAUUAUUGGGCGUAAAGGGCGCGUAGCGGCUAGGCAAGUUGGAGGUGAAAG
rnacentral:rRNA from 1 species